AACGAACGCUGGCGGCAUGCCUAACACAUGCAAGUCGAACGAGGCCUUCGGGCUUAGUGGCGCACGGGUGCGUAACGCGUGGGAAUCUGCCCUUGGGUUCGGAAUAACAGUUAGAAAUGACUGCUAAUACCGGAUGAUGUCUUCGGACCAAAGAUUUAUCGCCCAGGGAUGAGCCCGCGUAGGAUUAGGUAGUUGGUGGGGUAAAGGCCUACCAAGCCGACGAUCCUUAGCUGGUCUGAGAGGAUGAUCAGCCACACUGGGACUGAGACACGGCCCAGACUCCUACGGGAGGCAGCAGUGGGGAAUAUUGGACAAUGGGCGCAAGCCUGAUCCAGCAAUGCCGCGUGAGUGAUGAAGGCCUUAGGGUUGUAAAGCUCUUUUACCCGGGAUGAUAAUGACAGUACCGGAGAAUAAGCCCCGGCUAACUCCGUG
rnacentral:rRNA from 1 species